UGGACAUUGUUCGAUAGCGUUAAGAACACAUUUGAUUAGCCCAUCACACAAAAUAGCAGCGUUGCAAUAAAUAUUAGAGUUGACUUUAGCCAUUUAAAGUAGUAGCAAGGCUAUUCAAAUGACUAGUCGCGGCAACAAUAAUAUCCAAGGUUUAAGCUCCAAAAAAUGAUUAACAAUUAUAUUUGGAUAACGAAAUUCUUUCAAUGGCCGUAACCUUGGCUUAUCCGUUUCUCGACAGAUAAGAAUCAACUGUGUACUGUUGAACAUUACUCGCUGAAUGAAUGCUGUUCACGUCCAUUAUACAUUUACACGGAUGAAUAAUCAUUAACUCAGAACAUCCACCGGACAAACGAAGAAAAUGUAUUUUUGGUAAAAAAUAUAAUUCACUUUAAAAUUAUCCUAAAAUUAUCCUAAAAAUAUUUUUAUCUUUAUUUAUCGAGUAGGUUGGGUUAAACUGCAAUAUAAAAAACAGUUGUUCUAUAGUGGUUAUUAUUUUUAAACAAGUUAAAAAACAAUUUAAUUAU